GAGAGGGUCCUGGGGCAGGGGGGAAGCGUCUCCAUGGCGACGGGUGUAAACAGCGCGGGCGGUGCAGGACAUGGCGGGGCGCUGCGCUCCGCCGGGCGGGACUGCUCCUGAAUCGUCCUCUGAGACUCCAGAUUGCCAAACACGUAUCAUCUGAAAUACAUCCUGUUCAAGAAACAGAAGACUCCGUGGUCCCAGUGUAGACCAAGAAAUCAUUUUUUCACCCAAAGAUAUGAACACUUUCCUACAAUCAUGUAAUCUCAGCAGCAUGAAUAAUGGCUACCAGGAGAUUGUU